UCCCAUACAAGUACUAACCAGGCCUGACCCUGCUUAGCUUCUGACAGACAAGAUGAGGCACAUUCAGGGUGGUAUGGCC
rnacentral:sRNA from 1 species